UGUUGAAAGACUCCGGGUCAAGACCCCUCCUCUAAGACUCUGUGACCUUGGAUGAGGUGCUUUGAAUAUAUGGGUUGCCCUGCCUCCAUUGGAAACCAAGAGUGACCUUUUAUCAUCUGUGCCAUGAGUUUCUAUUCUCUCUCACUGCCUGCUCCAUGUCACCUGGAAAGGACUUCAUGGAACAGAUGGCAAAAACGGUUCAACUCCCCUGGAGCUUAGGCUGAAAUGUGGAUAGAUAAGGCCUUGCUUCUCAUUGGCUCCUGGGGAGCCGUCUUCAGAGGAUCAGGAGGUCUUUGGAAUUCCUUUUAAUGUUUGGCCCUGGGGUGAAGGAGAAAAGGCUGGAAGUUAGAAAUAGGAGUGACUCUUGCACAGGACUGCUUGGCCCUCCCAAGACUGAGCUGAGCCAUCCUGCACACUGAGAACCCCAGAAGUGGGUCCCUGUCCUCUGGUGACAUCUGAGGUAUACGUGAACUUCAGGAAGCACCAUCUCUCCUUCCUUGAUUUUCCUGGAGAUGGAGACUUGAGCGCUCAAAUGAUGGGGGAGCUGAAGCCGGGAGGAGCCUGCCUGAGGGACUCGGUGCAGCAUGGCCACAGACUCUGGAGGCCCACCUGACUCGGGUGUCACCUUGAAUUUGAACUAAAGACCUGGACAAUAACGAACCCCUAGCCCUGGUAGAUGGGGAAUCAAAAUCAGGAAAAGAGACUGGCCACCAAACUAGGAAAAAUGUCUAUAAACUCACCAGCAAAGAAGGGCUUCCUAACAGGGCUGGGCCUGAGUUCUCAUAGACUAGUAGCUCAGGCCGGGGGCUGUCCCCUUGCUGAACAAACUGGGUGUGCACUUCCACCUUUAUAACCCCAGCCUAUAGGAGGUACAGGUAAGAGACUCAGAAAUUCAAGGUCAUUUUUGGCUACAUAGGGACAUUGGGACUAGCCUGGGUUACAUGAGACCCUGCUAAAAAUAAAAAGCUGACUGAGGGAGCCUAGAGUUAUUGCUGCUGUUGUGUUUAUCACCUUGUUAGAGUUCCCCCAAAUACUGUUAUUGGGAACAUAAAUCCAAACAGCUAGGGCUGGGGGUAUAGCUCAGCAGAGAGCGUCCAUUCCCUGUACCCCCCAAAAUAAACAAAAACUCACUUGCCUAUAUAUACACACAUUCAUAGAGACAUGUCCAUACCCUAAAUACAGCAUGGGGUCCCAGAUCAGAUCUGCAGGCAAGAGUUGAACAUUUGUGGGAAAACUAUAGAAGCUCAAAUCAAGUCUGGCAUUUCAAACCAGGUCAGCUAAACUGUUUGCUCAGACAGGCAUGCCCUGGGUAGGAAGGACUACCUUAGAAGUCAUGGGGAGUGGUAGGUGGGCACCCCCAAACCAUCGUCACUACUUCCCUGUAGAUCCACUUAUUUCAAAAUAAAAGAUUUCUUUAAAACCU